rnacentral:rRNA from 1 species
AAAUACAAUACCGGUGAAGAUGCCGGUUAAGUGCAGUUAGACGAAAAGACCCUAGAAGCUUUACUAUAGCUUGAUAUUGAGCAUGUUUUUGGACUGCGUAGAAUAUACGGGAGACUUUGAAGGAAAGAUUUCGGUUUUUCUGGAGUCGCCAGUGCAAUACCGUACUUUUUGAAGGCAUGUUCUAACCAAUGCGGCAAAAACGCAUUGAGACAGUAUCUGGUGGAUAGUUUUACUGGGGCUGUACCCUCGAGGGUUCAAACAUUGGUGUCAAAGAGACACUUUGACAUUUGAACUUUCGAAUUUUACAGCUCCAAGAGGUCUAUCUUAAUGUCAAAGAGACACUUUGACAUCCGUUAAAAUCUCAAAAACAAAAAAUAGGGGGGCAAAUGUGCAACAUCCGAUGUUGCACAUUUGGAAAGUUGGGAAUUUGCUGGGAAAACCGGUGUAUGGCAUAAUACUUAUAUUAUAAGUAACAACUUAUGCCUGCGGUUAAUCAGCAGGGAAGAAAAAGUAUAUGGAAGGAUUACCAAACAUGAAAUCUAGGGAGGAAACUUUAGAAGACGAAAUGGAAAGCUUAAUUAAAGAACAAGAAGAAGUGUACAAACGACGCGAUGCCAUGGAAGCAAGAAUGCAGGAGAUAAGAGUCCAGCUUGAACAAUUAAGAAAUUAAAUGAUUUAAUUCCCUCAGAGACUACAAACCAACCAUCCGCGAGGAUGAAUGUAUAGUCCGAUCUCAUUGGCGACAAUGAGAAUGUCGAGGUUCAAUCUUGACAUUAGUGUCAAAGAGACUCUUUGACACUUAACAAAAAUGCCUAAAGAGUAAAGGAGGGGUUUAAAGGUAAGCUAGGCGCGAAUGGAAACCGUGCCGAUAGUGUAAUGGCACAAGCUUGCUUGACUGUAAGACGUACUUGUCGAGCAGAUACGAAAGUAGAACAUAGUGAACCGACCAUUCGCAUUAGACGCGGUGGAAGAUUAACGGAUAAAAGCUACUCUAGGGAUAACAGGCUAGUUCCGCCCAAGAGUUCAUAUCGACGGCGGAGUUCGGC